rnacentral:rRNA from 1 species
UACGGGGGGAGCAAGCGUUGUUCGGAUUUACUGGGCGUAAAGGGCGCGUAGGCGGCCACCGCAAGUCAAUUGUGAAAUCUCCGGGCUUAACCCGGAAAGGUCAAUCGAUACUGCAGGGCUAGAGUGCAGAAGGGGCAACUGGAAUUCUCGGUGUAGCGGUGAAAUGCGUAGAUAUCGAGAGGAACACCUGCGGCGAAGGCGGGUUGCUGGGCUGACACUGACGCUGAGGCGCGAAAGCUAGGGGAGCGAACGGG